rnacentral:SRP_RNA from 1 species
GCUAGGCACGGUGGCACGGUGCCUGUAGUCCCAGCUACUUGGGAGGCUGGGGUGGGAGGAUCGCUUGAGCCCAGGAGUUCUGGGCUAUAGUGUGCUAUGCUGAUCUGGUGUCCUCACUAAGUGCGGCAUCAAUGUGGUGACCUCCCAGGAGUGGGGGACCACCAGGUUGCCUAAGAAGGGGUGAAACGGCCCAGGUUAGAAAAGAGCAGGUCAAAACUUCUGUGCUGAUCAGUAGUGGGACUGCGCCUGUGAACAGCCACUGCAAUCCACCCUGAGCAACAUAGCGAGACCCCGUCUCU